GGCGGUUCUCUGGUGACACACCCAGGAAUUGGGUUUCCUCCUCUUUGGUUCCGGGUGUAUCACCCAAGAAUAGCA
rfam:Myotis davidii contig63670, whole genome shotgun sequence.